GACGAACGCUGGCGGCGUGCUUAACACAUGCAAGUCGAACGGAAAGGCCUGCUUUCCCUUGUGGAUUGCGGGUACUCGAGUGGCGAACGGGUGAGUAACACGUGAGUGAUCUGCCCCCAACUUGGGUAUAAGCCUGGGAAACUGGGUCUAAUUCCCGAUAGGACUGCAGGGUGGUGCCUGUGGUGGAAAACGAUUUUCUAGUGGUUGGGGAUGAGCUCGCGGCCUAUCAGCUUGUUGGUGGGGUAAUGGCCUACCAAGGCGGCGACGGGUAGCCGGCCUGGGAGGGUGGACGGCCAAAUUGGGACUGAGAUACGGCCCAGACUCCUACGGGAGGCAGCAGUGGGGAAUAUUACACAAUGGGCGGAAGCCUGAUGCAGCGACGCCGCGUGGGGGAUGACGGCAUUCGGGUUGUAAACUCCUUUCGACCGCGAGGAAGCCACCUGGUUGGAAGGGUGGUGACGGUAGUGGUAGAAGAAGCACCGGCUAACUACGUG
rnacentral:rRNA from 1 species